UAAUACGGAGGGGGCUAGCGUUGUUCGGAAUUAUUGGGCGUAAAGGGCGCGUAGGCGGCCACGUAAGUCGGGCGUGAAAUCCCUUGGCUCAACCAAGGAACUGCGUCCGAAACUGCGUGGCUCGAGUCCGGGAGAGGGUAGCGGAAUUCCCAGUGUAGCGGUGAAAUGCGUAGAUAUUGGGAGGAACACCGGCGGCGAAGGCGGCUACCUGGACCGGUACUGACGCUGAGGCGCGAAAGCUAGGGGAGCAAACAGGAUUAGAUACCCUGGUAGUCCUAGCUGUAAACGAUGAGCACUUGGUGUAGCGGGUAUUGACCCCUGCUGUGCCGAAGCUAACGCAUUAAGUGCUCCGCCUGGGGAGUACGGUCGCAAGGCUG
rnacentral:rRNA from 1 species